GCUUUNUGAAAAACACGGUCGUGCCUUCCCAGUGGGUAUACGGCCUAAACGGACGCGGUAAACGUGCUAAGGUAGCUAAAUUAUGGCCUAUUAAUUGUAGGUCCUGUGAAUGGUUUGACGAGUCUCCAUCUGUCUCGAGGUUAUUUUGGUGAACUUGAAUUAAAUGUGCAAAUGCAUUUAUAGGUGAGAAAGACGAGAAGACCCCGUGAAGUUAAAAAUUGGCGUAAGGGGAUCAUGGGUUUUGGCUGGGGCAGCAAAAAGGCAAAGCUAGACCUUUUUUGACGGGUGCGUUAUGAUCCACAGAGAUGUGCUUAGCAGAAGAAGUUACUCCGGGGAUAACAGCGUUAUCAUCCUGAUAGUUCUUAUAUACGGGUGGGUUUGCGACCUCGAUGUUGGCUCUGGGUGUCCUGAGGCUGANGCGGNCUUAAGGGUUGGUUUGUUCGCCCAUUAAAACCC
rnacentral:rRNA from 1 species